rnacentral:rRNA from 1 species
AUUGAACGCUGGCGGCAGGCCUAACACAUGCAAGUCGAACGAGUGGCGGACGGGUGAGUAAUGUCUGGGAAACUGCCCGAUGGAGGGGGAUAACUACUGGAAACGGUAGCUAAUACCGCAUACCAUCAGAUGUGCCCAGAUGGGUUUAGCUAGUUGUUGGGGUAACGGCUCACCAAGGCGACGAUCCCUAGCUGGUCUGAGAGGAUGACCAGCCAAACGGGAACGGAGACACGGUCCAGACUCCUACGGGAGGAGGAAGUGGGAAAUAUUGCACAAUGGGCGCAAGCCGGAUGCAGCCAUGCCGCGUGUAUGAAGAAGGCCUUCGGGUUGUAAAGUACUUUCAGAGGGGAGGCGUUACUCGCAGAAGAAGCACCGGCUAACUCCGUGCCAGCAGCCGCGGUAAUAC